rnacentral:sRNA from 1 species
UGUUUUUUUCUUUUGUUUUUUGCCUCUGCUGAUACCAACUCUCCAGGUGAACCUUCUCUUACUUGGCUCCUCUGGAGGCAGGCAUGCAGGACUCUGGACUUCUACCCUCUGAUUUUACCUGCUGUCGAAAUUAUGUCUAAAAAGAAGGCAAAGAAGUCACUCACUCUCUUACCAAGGCAAACCUUCCAGCAAGUUCCAGACAAGGGAGUCUACUGUAGAAUGAUCAGAAGUUUCCAGCUAGUCUGGGCUCCACAGGACUAACCUUCAUCAUGAACUGGACACAUACAGGAAGAGCAACUCUCAUCUGAAGAACUGACCUUCAUCGGGGAGGAUGUCUGGGAGAGCAUUUUCUCAAUUGCUAAU